GAUGAACGCUGGCGGCGUGCCUAAUACAUGCGAGUCGAGCGAACAGACGAGGAGCUUGCUCCUCUGACGUUAGCGGCGGACGGGUGAGUAACACGUGGAUAACCUACCUAUAAGACUGGGAUAACUUCGGGAAACCGGAGCUAAUACCGGAUAAUAUAUUGAACCGCAUGGUUCAAUAGUGAAAGACGGUUUUGCUGUCACUUAUAGAUGGAUCCGCGCCGCAUUAGCUAGUUGGUAAGGUAACGGCUUACCAAGGCAACGAUGCGUAGCCGACCUGAGAGGGUGAUCGGCCACACUGGAACUGAGACACGGUCCAGACUCCUACGGGAGGCAGCAGUAGGGAAUCUUCCGCAAUGGGCGAAAGCUUGACGGAGCAACGCCGCGUGAGUGAUGAAGGUCUUCGGAUCGUAAAACUCUGUUAUUAGGGAAGAACAAACGUGUAAGUAACUAUGCACGUCUUGACGGUACCUAAUCAGAAAGCCACGGCUAACUACGUG
rnacentral:rRNA from 1 species